rnacentral:lncRNA from 1 species
GAUUAUAUAUAUUUUUUUAACUGACAAAAAAUUUAUUUCUAAAUAUAGGUUAUUUAUAAAUUUAAAAGAGUGUUUAUAAAACUAUAAAUGAUUUUAUAGUCAAUUAGAUAUUUUAAGAUGGUAAUGACAAUAAGGGCAAAGUUGGAAUUUUGUUUGUUGUUUAUUCAAAAUUGAUAAUAAAUUAGUGUGAAGGUUAUUUUUGAAAGUUUCUCUGUUUUAAAAGGUUACUUUUAAAAUGUUAUUUAUGAUAUUUUAAUUUUUAUAGGGGCAUUUAUGAUAUUAGACUUAUUUGGAAGGGUAGUGAUGAAAUUUUCCCUUUUUUUAACUAAUCAAAGAUCAUCAUAUUUCACUUUAUACUAUAUUGCCUUACCCAUUUUGUUGUUCUUAGUUAAAACAAAAAAAUAAAAAUAAAAAAAUAAAAAAAAAAUAAAUUAGAACAUUACAGAAAGAAUCAAAGCGAAUCAAAUGUGUCUAUAAUUCGUGCACGAAAAGCAAUGGAGCUCGACGUUGCCACUUCCAUUGGGUGCUACUACCUAUCCUUGUGAGAGCAAAAUAGUCAUUAUACUAAAAUACAGUGAAAAACUUUGAUACUAAAAUAGAGCACCUAAUCAAAUAUUUAGGUAGCGUUUGGUUCGGGAACAAAAGGGGGAAUAAGCUCUUGUUCCUUCCUUCGUUUUUAAACGCUGCGUUUGGUAUCCGAGAACAGUAGCUCUCGGGUUUUUGAAAUAAACCGGUAUAAGAUUGGAACUGUUAUUCCACCUUUUUCUUGGAACAAGCUUGUUACCAGGUGAGAAUAAGAUAAAUUAAAGUGUAAAAAUAAUUUUAAUUAUGAUAUUAAUUAAUUUAAUUAAUAUAUUUAAAUCAUUAUUUAUUGCUUAAAUAAUAAAAUAAUUUAUUUCUUUAUUAUUUAUAAUUAUUAAUAAUUACUUACUAAUAAUUUAUUAUUAAUUAAUAAUUUACUAUUUAUAAUUAUUUAUUAUUUAUUAUUUAUUAUCUAAUUAAUUUUUUAUUAAUUAAUUAAUUUAAUUAUAAUUUAUUAUUAUUUAAUUAAUUUAUUAUUUAUAAUUAUUAAUAUUAAUUUAUUAUUAUUAAGUAAUAUUUUGAUUUAAUUAAUUCAAUAAAAUAAUUUUAAUUUAAAAUUAUAACUCUUUUUUUUUUUUUCCAAUCUAACCAUCCAAACACUAUUUAUCUUAUUUUUUAGAACAACCCAAUUUUUAUCCAAAUACAAAAUUGGUCUACUUCCUGCUUAUAUUGAACUUGUACUUAUCCCUGAAAUAAGCAAUUCUUAUUUAUACCCGAACCAAACGCAGUCUUAGGAUUAAAUGCAUUAAACCAUUUAAAUUUCUGCCAAUUUACAUAUAGCCAACUAAACUUUAAAAAUAUAAUAUUUUUUAU